AUCCAGCUGACAAGUCCCAAAUAGGACGAAAUGUACGUUAUCCUGGAU
rnacentral:hammerhead_ribozyme from 1 species